rnacentral:rRNA from 1 species
AGAGUUUGAUCCUGGCUCAGAUUGAGCGCUGGCGGCAUGCCUUACACAUGCAAGUCGAACGGUAACAGGUCUUCGGAUGCUGACGAGUGGCGAACGGGUGAGUAAUACAUCGGAAUGUGCCCGAGAGUGGGGGAUAACGAAGCGAAAGCUUUGCUAAUACCGCAUACGAUCUCAGGAUGAAAGCAGGGGACCGCAAGGCCUUGCGCUCACGGAGCGGCCGAUGGCAGAUUAGGUAGUUGGUGGGAUAAAAGCUUACCAAGCCGACGAUCUGUAGCUGGUCUGAGAG